CUGGAGGUGGCCUCCUGCAUCGCCCCCACCCUCUGCCCCCAGUCCCGCUUCCUUCUGCAAUGCUGCCGGGAGGUGAGCUCUGUGACCUCGCCUGGCGGGUGCCACAGACAUGAGCUCACUGAGAAGGUCGAGUCGCCUGACUCUGGGUGAAUGUUUAACAGAAACACCUGCCCAAGUAGAGACGCCGGGGGAACCCUAGCUCCUCUCCCCGCCCACUGCACAGACACUCAGCGGGAGCACGACCUCCACACUCCCAGCGCCUCUCCCUGCAGGGAGAGGUGGGGGUUCUUCCUGCAUCUGGGGGAGACUGGGGCCCUGGGCAGCACUUGCAGCCAGCAGAGUCCGGCCCCUCACCCCGCCCCAGACCAGACCGGGGGCCAGGACCUGGAGGAAGGGCAGUGUAUCCGGUUCUUCCCUAUGACAGAAAACGGGUGCAAUGGUCACUGGCGGCAGGCGAACCCAUGCCAGCUGCAGGCUUGUGGAAAAAAUCAGCUAAUCCAUGAAUCAUCCUGUUUACACCAGAAACAAGUGGAGACUUUGCACCUUUGAUCCACAGCUGGGGCAGAAACCGCAGGUCGUUGGGAGACACCUGUGGAGCCGUGUUGCAGCCCCUCUGACUGCGGGAGACUCUGGCACCAGGCUUCUGGGCGCCCCUCACGGCGCGUCGCGGGCUCGUCCUGGGUAAUUUCCGUGUCCGGCAGACCAACGGCUCAUAAACCAGGGAUCGCAGCACCUCCGCGUGCCAGGAAAUUGGCUUACAAGGCUGUGACUAAGUUUUUUUUGACGACACAGGACAUCAGAGUACUUCACAGGUUUCAGGCGCUGUCGGAACCCCCCGGGCUGCCGGCCCAGCUCUCGGGGACUCCAGGCCCCGCGCCCACUCCCCAGGCCGCGCCCUGGCCCCGUCUCCACCGCCUGUCUCUCCAGUCUUGUCACUUCUCUCCGUGCUUUUUCUUCAGUUCACUUGGCUUCAGGUUAACUCCAGUUUGCUCACUGACUUUUUGCAUUGCGUUUUCCAGUCACGGCUUGCCUUCGACACUGCUGUGCAGUGGUUUCUGUGGGUGGACAGCUUCUCCCUCCCACAUCCCCACGGCACUCACACGCCGCCGCACUGCACGGCAGAGUGCCAGAGGGUUCCAGAGCACUGUCACGUUUUUUAUCGAAUUUGACACACGGGAUCACUCACAGAGGAAGAAGGAAGUCCUUUGUCAUCACCCGUUAUGACUGAGGAAACCCGGGCUGUCCAAGGUCAGAGGGGAGGAAACAGCCGAGACGGCAGACCUGCUCCCACCUUCCUUCCAUUCGCUCCGCUCGGCGCACGUAACCUCCGGGAAUGGCGAGAACCAGGACAAUGACCCCUGAACCCAGGGCCUUUCGGAAAACAGGGGCGUGUGUUUCCUGGCUUCCCCGGGGCCCUCCGCGGUCCUGCUCCCAGGAGCCCAGUGAACACUCACCCCUGCGGCCACUCCAGCCCCGAUGUGCCUCGUUUCUCCCGCAUUUUCUGGAAAAAAGAAACAAAACUGAGUGUCCUAAGGACUGGUGUCGGGCAGCGUACUGGGAUUCUGCCUUAUAUUCACCCGUGCUCUCUGCAUUGCACAUCCAGCCCAAUUCCUCUUAUUGGGUUUUCCGCAGAAAUAGAAAAAUAAAGCAUGAAUAUUUUUGUAUCCCA